rnacentral:lncRNA from 1 species
GGUGGGUGAAAGACCCGAGCUAACAUGGGGUUAGCUCAUUAAAUUACAAUAAAGCCUCGUGCAGGUUGCAGCAAGCUCUGGAAUCCACCUGGUGAUUGGGGUGACCAGGAACGUGGCCUGGGACCACGGAUACUUGAGUUUUCGGGGGUCUAGCAUUUGGGGGCUCGUCUGCGAUUUGCGACCACCCUUCACCUGAGUGGAUCGAUCUUGGAGGGGGAAACAGACUUGUUUCGAGACCCUGAAGUCCCGCCCUGGACGAAAGUCAGAGGGUCGUUUGAAUUGAACCAUAGGUUUAAACAUGUCUUAAACAGGUUUCUGCUUCUGGCAGACAUCUGAGUAUCAGUUGCUGACUACAGGCUGUUCUAAGUAGACUGCGAGCCCUGGACUUGCUGUGGAUGUGAACCAGUCCAGCUGAUAUGGACACCCCCUGUCUCUGCAACAGUGUCUGCUAACCAGAAGCUCCUGAUGGAUUCCCCAUUGCCUAAAUUCCUUUUUUUGCUUUUGACUAGCAUUUCAACUUUCUGGGGUCCCUAACUUCGCUCCAAAGUCAGC